rnacentral:misc_RNA from 1 species
GAUGAAGAACGUAGUGAAAUGCGAUAAGUAAUGUGAAUUGCAGAAUUCAGUGAAUCAUCGAAUCUUUGAACGCACAUUGCGCCCGUCGGCACUCCGGCGGGCAUGCCUGUCCGAGCGUCAUUUCAACCCUCAGGACCCCCUUCCGGGGGGGACCUGGCGCUGGGGAUCAGCGGCCUCCGGGCCCCUGUCCCCCAAAUGCAGUGGCGGUCGCGCCGCAGCCUCCCCUGCGUAGUAGCACACCUCGCACCGGAGAGCGGCUCGGCCACGCCGUGAAACCCCCAAUUUUUCAAGGUUGACCUCGGAUCAGGUAGGAAUACCCGCUGAACUUAAGCAUAUCAAUAAGCGGAGGA